AUGCCUAUCUAUAUGACAUUCAUAUUCUGGACACAGAAACAAUGGCAUGGCGGGAGGUAAAGACGACUGGUGCCGAGCUGAUGCCAAGAGCUGGUGAACGCAGAGCGAGGCAUAUUAUUCUUCUAUGGGGGAUGUAAUGAAGAGCUUGAAGCUCUGAAUGACAUGUAUUUCCUCGACACAGAUGCUGAGGGAGAAAGAUCCAUCAGAACCAAAG